ACAAGCCCUGGAAACGGGGUCUAAUACCGGAUACGACUGCGGGAGGCAUCUCCUGUGGUGGAAAGCUCCGGCGGUGAAGGAUGAGCCCGCGGCCUAUCAGCUUGUUGGUGAGGUAACGGCUCACCAAGGCGACGACGGGUAGCCGGCCUGAGAGGGCGACCGGCCACACUGGGACUGAGACACGGCCCAGACUCCUACGGGAGGCAGCAGUGGGGAAUAUUGCACAAUGGGCGAAAGCCUGAUGCAGCGACGCCGCGUGAGGGAUGACGGCCUUCGGGUUGUAAACCUCUUUCAGCAGGGAAGAAGCGAAAGUGACGGUACCUGCAAAAGAAGCGCCGGCUAACUACGUGCCAGCAGCCGCGGUAAUACGUAGGGCGCAAGCGUUGUCCGGAAUUAUUGGGCGUAAAGAGCUCGUAGGCGGCUUGUCACGUCGGGUGUGAAAGCCCGGGGCUUAACCCCGGGUCUGCAUCCGAUACGGGCAGGCUAGAGUGUGGUAGGGGAGAUCGGAAUUCCUGGUGUAGCGGUGAAAUGCGCAGAUAUCAGGAGGAACACCGGUGGCGAAGGCGGAUCUCUGGGCCAUUACUGACGCUGAGGAGCGAAAGCGUGGGGAGCGAACAGGAUUAGAUACCCUGGUAGUCCACGCCGUAAACGUUGGGAACUAGGUGUUGGCGACAUUCCACGUCGUCGGUGCCGCAGCUAACGCAUUAAGUUCCCCGCCUGGGGAGUACGGCCGCAAGGCUAAAACU
rnacentral:rRNA from 1 species